rnacentral:lncRNA from 1 species
GUCCCCCACUGGUCUUCUGAGCAGACUUGACGCAGUUUCAUCUCAUUCCUGAGGUAUCCUGAGCCCCUCAGUGCCAUACUUCUGCGUGAGUGCUGUGAACUGGAGCAAAUGGGUUGAAAAUGGCCAGAAGUUGCUCUUGGUCUCUUUAGAUCUUUUAUGACAAAGAAAAAAAUUGAAUUUCUGACCAGUUAAAAUCCAUUUGAGCCAGUUUAAGCUAAUUAUGCAGAACUGGAGCCUGAGGUCGGUAAAUCCAGGAAGAUGGCUGAAUACUAUGCUGACUCAAGUACAGACAAGGAGCCAGCUUCACUUCUUCCUUGACUUCACCCUGGCCCUGUGGUGACUGGAGGCUUUGUGAUAUGAUGAGAAAACCAAGGCUCCAAGAGCUUCUGUAACUUGUCCAAGACCAUGCAGUUAGUGCACAGUGAGGCACAGAAUCAGUUGUAGAAGCACUUCAGGGAAUUCGGAUACUAUUUUGUGGCCUGGCAAGAUCAGCAGCCUUACUAUCUUAGUCCCUGCCAGUCAUCAGCUUCUGGUUUCCCUGUUAUCCUGCUGCUCCCUAGAAUGCAGCUAUUAAGUGGCCUAAGAGCCAGCACCUUCACGGAGUAGCAAAGGUUCAGCCUAUGGAAAUUCCCAAUGCUUGAACUAACAGCAAUAGUGAUCUAUAUAGUCUCAAGGAGGCUGAUGCUUGUGUUGGAGGCCUUCUGAGCAUCUUCCAUAUCCAUCUGGCCUUAUAAACACUUUUUCCUCUGCUGUACACAAGGAAUGAACCAUAAAAGCAGAAACUCCAUCA